rnacentral:rRNA from 1 species
UACGGAGGGUGCGAGCGUUGUCCGGAAUCACUGGGCGUAAAGGGCGCGUAGGCGGCGCGGGAAGUCAUCGGUGAAAGUUCAGGGCUCAACUCUGAAUCGGCCGGUGAUACUCUCGUGCUUGAGCACUGUAGAGGCAGGUGGAAUUCCGGGUGUAGCGGUGGAAUGCGUAGAGAUCCGGAAGAACACCGGUGGCGAAGGCGGCCUGCUGGGCAGUAGCUGACGCUGAUGCGCGACAGCGUGGGGAGC